AUGGAGCCGCCGCCUUCUCCGCUGGGCACCGGCGCCGGCGCUGUCUGCUGCAUGUGCGGCGAUCGCGGCCUGCCGCACGAGCUGCUCCGCUGCAAGCUCUGCCGCGUCCGCCUGCAGCACAGAUACUGCAGCGAUCUGUACCCGAGGGCCACGGCGUAUAGGAGGUGCAACUGGUGCCUGAGGGAGCCCGCAGAAGCCCACGCCCAACCCCACGCUCACCCGGUGGCUAGCAAGAAGGCGGACAAACGGAAGAUGGUGGCAUCAACGGAGACGUCCACCUCCGACGAGGAGGAGCGGCGGCAGCACGAGGCCGGAUGCGCCACUGCUACGAGGUCCAGGAGAUCGGCUGCGGAGGUUGGUAAGCCGGUCAAGAAGCCCAAGGUCGACGAGAGGCCACCGCUGCCCCCGUCGCCGGGCACGGCAGCGAAGGGGAACAGCGGCGACAAGAAGCCCAAGGUCGACGAGACGCCAGCGCUGCCUCCGUCGCCGCGCACGGCAGCGAAAGGGAACAGCGGUGACAAGAAGCCCAAGGUCGAUGAGAGGCCGGCGCUGCCUCCGUCGCCGGGCGCGGCAGCGAAGGGGAACAGCGGUGACAAGAAGCCCAAGGUCGACAAGAGGCCAGCGCUGCCUCCGUCGCCGGGCACGGCGGCGAAGGGGAACAACGGCGACAAGAAGCCUAAGGUCGACGAGUGGACGGCGCUGCCCCCGUCCCCGGGCACGGCGGCGAAGGGGAGCAGCGGCGACAAGAAGCCGAUGCAAGCGGGGAAGUUGGCGCGGCCGGGUAGGGUGAAGGUGAGGAGGUACAAGCUCCUGGCAGAGGUGAUUAGCUGCUAG
rnacentral:rRNA from 1 species